GAUCCACAGGAGACAGCGAAAGAGAACAGGCUGCUGCUGCUCAGUUACAAAAAUGAGAAUUGCCUACUAUGGAACACUAGGUGAUGGGAAGUAAUUGGACAGGGACAGGAAGAAAAUUAACAAGAGACCUUGGUCCAAUAAACAAUGUAAUGAUAAGGAGUUGAGAUUUCAAAUCAGAGAGGAAAUCAUCAAGAUACAAGUCACCCACCAGACACUUUGCCGUUUGCUAAGAUUCUUGCAGAGAGAGCAGGGCGGAGCCAGGUGUUGGACAGCUGGUGUCCAGCAUGUGAAGAUAAAAAGUAGGUCCGCUGGGACACAGACAUACCACGGGACACUGAACGAGCUUUGUGCACCCACGUGAAGGUGGGGUUUUGGAGGAUUGAUUCAGGGAAAUCGAUCAGUGGCUUACAGUGUGAAAAGGUGCAACCGGCGGAGAACUAUUUGUGUGUCCACCCUUGCCUGGGUAUUAGUUCCAACACUGAAGAACUGUUGUAUGUAUUAUGGUCAUAGUCGGUGACCACAACAAGACAUCCGAAGACAAUGGGAAGAUUGACGGCAAUGGCAUCACCUCUCAUUAUCUCCCUUUCUCUCCAAUGUUACUCAACCAACUACCUCGAAUUGAACUGAACUCUCUUCAUCAUAUCGUAAAGACUGUAUCCAUUUACCCCUAGGUUUGAAAGAGCCUAGUUUUGGUUCCUAUUUCAACACUUCUGUAUAUACAAACAUUUGUAUAUAUAUCAUUGCUAACCUGUUCAUAUAUUUGCAUCUAUAUUACUGUAUUGUGUAGUUUACUAAUAAACACUA